rnacentral:rRNA from 1 species
AGAGUUUGAUCAUGGCUCAGGACGAACGCUGGCGGCGUGCUUAACACAUGCAAGUCGAACGAUGAACCACUUCGGUGGGGAUUAGUGGCGAACGGGUGAGUAACACGUGGGCAAUCUGCCCUUCACUCUGGGACAAGCCCUGGAAACGGGGUCUAAUACCGGAUAAUACUUCCACUCGCAUGGGUGGGGGUUGAAAGCUCCGGCGGUGAAGGAUGAGCCCGCGGCCUAUCAGCUUGUUGGUGAGGUAGUGGCUCACCAAGGCGACGACGGGUAGCCGGCCUGAGAGGGCGACCGGCCACACUGGGACUGAGACACGGCCCAGACUCCUACGGGAGGCAGCAGUGGGGAAUAUUGCACAAUGGGCGAAAGCCUGAUGCAGCGACGCCGCGUGAGGGAUGACGGCCUUCGGGUUGUAAACCUCUUUCAGCAGGGAAGAAGCGAAAGUGACGGUACCUGCAGAAGGAGCGCCGGCUAACUACGUGCCAGCAGCCGCGGUAAUACGUAGGGCGCAAGCGUUGUCCGGAAUUAUUGGGCGUAAAGAGCUCGUAGGCGGUCUGUCGCGUCGGAUGUGAAAGCCCGGGGCUUAACCCCGGGUCUGCAUUCGAUACGGGCAGACUAGAGUGUGGUAGGGGAGAUCGGAAUUCCUGGUGUAGCGGUGAAAUGCGCAGAUAUCAGGAGGAACACCGGUGGCGAAGGCGGAUCUCUGGGCCAUUACUGACGCUGAGGAGCGAAAGCGUGGGGAGCGAACAGGAUUAGAUACCCUAGUAGUCC